UAAGAGAUAGUGUUUCUGCCGUGAC
rnacentral:piRNA from 1 species